AGAUGUGAGAGCCAUCUGGCUGUGACAUCUUUCACUGCACUGAUUACCAGGGUUAAUUCAGUUGAUCUGGCUGGCUAGGUGGGUGUCCCCUUCCUCCCUCACCAUUCCAAGUAUGGUGAGCCCAAAGCUGUGUGCUUGGUAAAAGAGAACAACCAUCCCAUCCAAAAUAUAUAUUUUAGUCCAGCAUAUCAUAGCCAGCACUUCCUCUCAUAUUAACCACUUCACCCACUAAGAAUUAUGAGAGAGGCCUACUUGGGACAGAUUUCACUUCUUGAGUUGAUCAGAAGAGUGGAACAGUUUGA